CUAUGGUCGGCACGUCUGGUAGCAUCUCUGGCUGCUGUUGAUCUUGUUUUUGGAGUAAAACACGGUGGAAGCUGAAUUAGUGAGGAUGACUCCUGCUCCUGUCAUCUCUAAGCUCCUCACACAUCUUUACCUGCACAUGAGGAAAAUCACUCCUGUAGAAUGCAGAUGUUCAGAGGGAGAUGAUGCCACAUCUGGUCCAGCUGAUGGAAGGUCUUGAAGUUCUCUGACUGGCCUCGACUGAAGAUGGUCGUCUCUCUGGAUUUAAGGUUCAGAUGCUCAGUAACAAACUCCACCAAUGUGCCAACAGGGAAGCUUUAGGUUUAUUAAAUGUUGCUAUGAAGGUAUCACUGUUUUUCUUUGUGAAUGCAAUGUGCUCCAACUGAAACUUGAAUUAGAACUUAGAAGUAAAUCCUUCCAUCUGAAAGGAUUUAGUUGCAUUAAUAACCUCAUAACAUUCUAAUUUUUAUUCCAGUCUUGGUUGGAAAUAGAAUCUCUGUAUUGAUUCAGGUAAAAACUGAACUUCACAGCAUGUUGGAGCAAAACAACCAGAUGAAAACUGUGAUGGUGUUGGAUUGUCAGACUGUAAUGUUGCAGCUCAAAGCAGCUUUUCUAGCUCAGUUCAUUCUGACAUUCAGCUAUGAAUCAACACAGCAGAUGGUGAUCCAUGCUGUGGAAGUCUCACAUCUCCUGAUUUAAUGGAGCUGCUUUGCACUUUUUACACUGUUUAUUCACCAACACUUUAAUAAAAGUCCCAUCUAGUUUUUAUGAGGAAUGCGAUGUUUUAAUUUCUCUGUGAAUAACUGCAGUCUAAUGCAACAGCUGGAAUUGUAACAUCUGUCCUGAUACUGAUCAUGAAGUAUUGAUCAGAAUACUUAUGGUCAGCAGUCAUCCCUGAAGUUUUAUAUUAAAAUCUUUACUUGUGUGUGAACUUUGGUAAGAAAACCUUACAGUAUUGAGAUUAAGAAAUCAAAUAUUCUAUAAAAUGUAAAUACACUGAACUCAUUUGGAUAUAUUUGAGACUCUACAAUAUUUGACACAAAUCUAUCUAAAUCAAAAUUUUAAUAAUUUUCACGCCAAACAUUUACUGGACUGAUUGAAAUAUUAAAAUCACUCCUUUCUAAUCUUCUGCUGUAUGUUCAAACCUGAGGCCUUAAAUAGAAACACACAAGUAUCUGAUUGAAGGAACUUCUGCAGAGUCCUGGUUCCAGAACAUGAUGAUAGAAUUAUAGACAAACUUUAACAAAAGCUGCCUGAGAGUUUACAGGUUUUUAUGUUAGAUUUCUUCAGUAAUUUAAUGAGUUAUCAGCAAAAAUCAAGUGUUCAUUUGAUGAACUUCAUUUCCUAAAACAUCCAGAAUUGGAGCUCAUAUCUUUGGCAGCUGUAAAGUUUCUGCUCCUUCAAAGUUCACAACACAAUGAAUGAAUUCCUAAAACACUCUCAAUGCUGGAGAGCGUUUGUGAUGCUGAAGCAGUGAUCAGUUUUUCUGUUUCUUCUCUGGAGAUGCACAAUGAGGGACGUCUGCAGCGACUGAGAAAGAGUCUCACCACAUCCUGACAUGAGGAAAAAGACUUUACUGAAAACUACAAUGAGAAAAACUAUCAGACAGCAGACGGCUGCAUUCAAGGUGAGCUCUGAACAUCUAAUCUGGAACAGGAAUUCAAUAACGGCAGCAUGAGCUUCAUUUCAGUCUGUAGCUGCUGAAUUCAUGGAUGAAUCAUCUGGCACUAGAGAAGAAGACCAUCAAACAUCCACGUCAGCUGAUGGAGGUCCAAGAGUCUCACCAAACAAACAACCUACAGAGUGAAGACCUCAAAUCUGAUUGGACGGCCUCCUAUUCAGCCACGUGUGAACAAAUGCCUCUAA